rnacentral:rRNA from 1 species
GAUGAACGCUAGCGGCAGGCCUAAUACAUGCAAGUCGAACGGUGUCUUCGGACAUAGUGGCGCACGGGUGCGUAACACGUAUGCAACCUACCUUACAUUGGGGGAUAGCCUUUCGAAAGGGAGAUUAAUACCGCAUAAGACAGUAGCUGGGCAUCCAGCAGCUGUUAAAGAUUUAUCGAUGUAAGCUGGGCAUGCGUCCAAUUAGCUAGUUGGUGAGGUAACGGCUCACCAAGGCAAUGAUUGGUAGGGGAACUGAGAGGUCAAUCCCCCACACUGGCACUGAGAUACGGGCCAGACUCCUACGGGAGGUAGCAGUAGGGAAUAUUGGGCAAUGGACGCAAGGCUGAUCCAGCCAUGCCGCGUGCAGGAUGAAGGCGUUAUGCGUUGUAAACUGCUUUUAUACAGGAAGAAACGACUCUUGCGAGAGGCAUUGACGGUACUGUAUGAAUAAGCACCGGCUAACUCCGUGCCAGCAGCCGCAGUAAGAC